AGGAAGGGUGGCACUGCGCCUAUAUAAAGACAGCGCCGGCGCUCCAUCCAUCAUUCAGCGGCAGAGCCAGGAACAGAGCAGACAGAGGACAGCCAUGAAGUUCGUGACGAUAAUUGCGCUGGUGCUCAUGCUGGUGGCGGUAGUUCUUUGCGCCCCCGCGGGAAGCGACUCUGACCCGACGGAUGCCGACGAGGACACCAGGUCCAACCUGUUCCUGCUCAAGAAGAAACUGCUGUUAAAGAAGAAGCUGCUGCUGCUCGGCUGAUGUCCCAACAUACGCCAGCUCGUCCUGAUCAUAAUUCAUCACAGCGGUGCAUCACAAACACAGCACCCGCCAGUUACCUUCACCUGUUGCUCAACGGCGACAUAUUGACUCUACAGUAAUUUACUGUGCCGCUUCGCAUCAUUUGUUUUAUAUUCG